rnacentral:rRNA from 1 species
GAUGAACGCUGGCGGCAUGCCUAACACAUGCAAGUCGAUCGGUAAGGCUCUUCGGAGUACACGAGAGGCGGACGGCUGAGUAACGCGUAGGAACACACCCUGCAGUGAGGGAUAAGACACCGAAAGGUGUUCUAAUACCGCAUACGGUCUUCGGAUUAAAGCAUUUAUGCGCUGAAGGAGUGGCCUGCGUCAUAUUAGAUAGUUGGUGAGGUAAUGGCUCACCAAGUCGAUGAUGUGUAGCUGGUCUGAGAGGAUGAUCAGCCAGACUGGAACUGAGACACGGUCCAGACUCCUACGGGAAGCAGCAGUGAGGAAUAUUUCACAAUGAGCGAAAGCUUGAUGGAGCAAUGCCGCGUGCAGGAUGAAGGCCAUCGGGUUGUAAACUGCUUUUAUAAGAGAAGAUUAUGACGGUAACUUAUGAAUAAGGGACGGCUAACUACGUG